GCUGUCUGGAAAAUGGAGUUAAAUUUGACCAGAGCUGAAGGCACCUUGGAUUGGAGGUUUUACAUCAGGUUUCUGGCCUUUUGGUGAUACCAGCUGAAGAGAGAAGAAUCCUGCUUGGACUGGCUGCUGGCAGCUAGAAUAGACAGAGGACUACAGACUUAUUUCUCCACUGGACCCGAUUCGGACAGUUUUCAUCUCAAGAUCCUUGCCCAUUGACUGGACUCCAUUUGGACCAAUCAAAUACCUCCCAUUUUGAACUGUCUUUGGAAGGGUUCAUUGAAAUGCAAGGGGAGAUCACAAAACUCCAAGGGGACUGAAAAUGAAACCUAACAACAUGACAGAGCCAAGGAACCCUCCUGAUUGACUCAAUUCAAAAGGUAUGCUGCCCCAAAAGCCGGAAUCCGAGAACACGCAGGUUUGAGGGGAAGGC
rnacentral:lncRNA from 1 species